rnacentral:rRNA from 1 species
GACGAACGCUGGCGGCGUGCUUAACACAUGCAAGUCGAACGAUGAACCCGGAGCUUGCUCCGGUGGAUUAGUGGCGAACGGGUGAGUAACACGUGAGUAACCUGCCCUUGACUCUGGGAUAACUGCGGGAAACUGUAGCUAAUACCGGAUACGACCCUCAGCGGCAUAGCCAGGGGGUGGAAAGAAUUUCGGUCAAGGAUGGACUGGCGGCCUAUCAGCUAGUUGGGGAGGGAACGGCUGACCAAGGCGACGAGGGGUAGCCGGCCUGAGAGGGGGACCGGCCACGCUGGAAAUGGGACACGGCUCAGACUCAGACGGGAUGCAGCAGUGGAGAAUAUUGCACAAUGGGCGCAAGCCUGAUGCAGCAACGCCGCGUGAGGGAUGACGGCCUUCGGGUUGUAAACCUCUUUUAGUAGGGAAGAAGCGAAAGUGACGGUACCUGCAGAAAAAGCACCGGCUAACUACGUGCCAGCCGCCGCAGUAAAAC